UACGUAGGGGGGCUAGCGUUGUCCGGAAUCAUUGGGCGUAAAGCGCGUGUAGGCGGUCCGGUAAGUCCGCUGUGAAAGUCGGGGGCUCAACCCUCGAAUGCCGGUGGAUACUGUCGGGCUAGAGUGCGGAAGAGGCGAGUGGAAUUCCUGGUGUAGCGGUGAAAUGCGCAGAUAUCAGGAGGAACACCAAUUGCGAAGGCAGCUCGCUGGGCCAACACUGACGCUCGAUGCACGAAAGCGUGGGAGCAAACGGG
rnacentral:rRNA from 1 species